rnacentral:tRNA from 1 species
GGAUGUAGCUCAGUGGUUGAGUGUUUUCCUAACAUAUGGUAAAGUCCUGGGUUCUAGCCCCAGCAUCC